UGAACUGUUUUAUUUCUGAUUCACUUCACACACAGUGGAUAUACCGUCCAACUAAUUCAUUCACAAAUGUAGUUUCUCCAAACACACACACAGUGAUCACUGCAGUAAAGAUUCUUAAGUUUAGUGCCUUGGAUUAAUGACAAGUGACUUGUACAAUGGCCCACAGCAUUUACUGUUAUGGUAAUAAAUAUAAUGUUCCUUCCCCACAAAAUUAUGGAAAAAAGGUAAAAGAAACACUGCUGAACCUUAAAAUUCUACAAGCUUUGUAGCUCCUCCAACAUUUUAUUUCCUGGAGCUGAACAAGAUAAUUUUAAUUAUUUUGUUUUUAUCUUUAACGUAACGUAAAAAACAUUUAUAAUAUCCAACAGCACACAAAUGAAUAUGAUCAUCAAAUAAUAACACAGCAGAAGUUACCUAAAUAUUGCUUUUCAUAACUGCAGCAUUUCUUUCUUUAUAUGCAGGAUCUCUCUCAUACAUUACAAAAACAAAUCACACACAAAAAACAAUGAAGAAUUAUGUAAACACAAUACACUGUUAUAAAUUUGACUGGGUAAACUUACACACAAUUUUAGACCAACAAUUAAAUAUCUGAGCCAUUAAUCAAAGGGAAACAAUAAUUACUUAGUGAAAAGGAUAACAUAACAAAAACUCAGCAAGCAACAUGAGAUCAUCAGUAACCUAUUUAUAUAAGGUUUUCGAUAGUUAAUGUAUUCAUUUUAUUUACAAUAACAAUUUUUAGAAAAAUAAAUUUAUGCAAUGAUAACCAACAAGAAAUUCAUUAUAGCAGCUGUGAAAAUGAUAUGUCACACAAGAAUUUAUAUUCUUGUUUUGGAAGUUUUGCACUUGCUAAACAUACAAACAGCAGACACCUGUCUGAUGACAUUGCUGGUAACAGAAAACUUCACAAGGAACUAUCACUCAAGAAACAUAGCUCUGCUGUUCUUGUAGCAAGAAAGAUUGUUAAUAAACAUGACUGAAAUAAUGUUUCACAAAUACAGUGGUGGCUAUGACCAAUAGCACUGGCUAUUACCUAGUAUCAAAUUUUAAUGCAACACUUAAUCCAAAGUUUAAAGGUGGUGACCUGAAUCAUAGUACACACAUACAAUUCUUCACACUAGUGGUCCACUUUUCCCAGAAAAUGACAAUUUCCAAAAAUACUGGACAAGCAUACAAAUUAUAAAAUGACAAAUGAAGAUCUACAAAGAUAUUUCUCAAUCAGUAUGGAAAAAAAAUACUGAAUACCGCUGAUGAUCAUCAUCAGAAUAUUCUCCAUAAACAUCAAUUACAUGAGAUGUUAAAGAAGCUCUAAAAGUUAUUGUAAGAGUACUUUGCAUUUCCAAUACUAAAUGGUGAUAUAUGGAUGGUAAACAAACAAUAUAUUUACUAAUGCCUAGCAACACAAUUUUUGUCAUUAAGAACUGGCAGAGAGGAGAAAGAGGUGAAAGUAGCUCAAUUAUUGCAGUAUUAACAAUGUCCAUUUUUGUGAUGGACAUCUGAAUGCCAAAAAGAGAAUAUAUAAAGAGAUGGUGACACGGAACACAGAGAUUUAUCCGUCAUUUAUAAAACUAGGUAAUUAACAAGGAGUGAUGUAAAAGGUAACAAAACAUUCCAGGAACGCCCAUAAGUAAUUGUAACAAACAGAUAACCUGAAAAAUAUCAUGUCAUUAGAAAGAAAGAGAGGAAGGAGCAAUUUACAAUGGGCAGAUUAUAAGGAUGGUAAAUGAACCUCAACAAUUGUGUGUUCUGUGAUUCUUUAAGCUGCUUUCUUUCAGCAACAAUAUUUAAAAUCUGAAUGAAUUAGGAAACUUUAUAUGUGAUGUUUGCUGCAAUUUUCUUUUCUUCCUGUGUUUUCUUUCAGCAUGUUAUUAAUGAGCCAUAAUUCACCAUUCAUAAUAUAAUACAAUAUAACCCAAUAUUUAUAACAUAUUUGCACAGUUUUCAUGGAAACUCACACACACACACACACACACACACACACACACAAAACCAACCACCUAUAGCACAACUGCAAAUUCAGACACAAAAAUAAUAACCAAUAACAAUUUAAUAAAGUCUUCAUUUUGCAAAGUACUGCUACUGAACAGACCAGUCUUAUGUUUUACCAGUUUUCACUAGACCUAUUGUCAAGAUGAACAAAGUAGCUGUAAAUGCACUACUAUGACCAAAACAUGAGAGCACACACAAUGAUGUGAUACACAUUCAAUAUUAGUACAGGGGAAUAAAAGUAAACAUAAGAGAAGACAACUUCUGAGCUUAAAAGGGAAUAAUGUCUCACCAUCAUGUGUGUGUGCAUACAUGGCUAGGAAUGAUUUUGAUAUGCAACGCAAAAAUUAUAUUACAUAAUAAGGAACUGUAACACCACGUGUUGUGCACAGUACCACUACCAAAUUAAUGAACAUGGGUGGUCACAGUCAAAAAGUGAUAAGCUUAUUUCUCUAGGUGCGACAUACAUUUUCUUAAAAACUGAAAGUGAUGUUUAACAGUGCAAAUAUUCAGCCCACACUUGGUAACACUGAUGAAAUAAAAAUGUUUCCUUUUUCAUCCAUAAAAGGAUAACGUCAUGGAAGUUUUCUGUAGCUAAUUUUAAAUUUAAAGGUACAACUACCUGAAAAAUAAUAGCUUAUCAACUACUAUAUUGCACCAAACCAAACAAGCAAACAUAUAAUGUUGUACCAUUAAGUAUACUUAAACCACAAGACAGGUAACAAAUGAAUUACUAUGAAGUUUGCAUAUUACCCUUUGCUGCACUUUUGUGACAAUUUUACCCAACAAUUAACACAGUCUCUCCCACCGUUUUCCAUGCCUUUCCAAGCUGCCAUCUCUUAGUGAGUGUAGUGAACAUAUUUUUCAACAUUUGCUCCUGCAAUUUCUAUUAAUUGACAUUUACUUUGAACAGUCUGCUGCUAUUUCUUGUUAGUUUUAAUAAUUUUCUCUGUGUCUGAAGUGAGCUUUGGUUAGUUCUUCAUGUCAGUCUUGUUAGCCACAAUGAAAAAAGAGUGCUCAAGAGUGGAAAAUGACAACAAAAAAUUAUAUCAUUGACAAAGGGAAGAAUUCUCUGUGGCACUACAAAAAUCAGUAUGGGACAUACUGUUUCUUUUGCCACUAUCUUUAUUCAGCUACAGAGUUCCUAUUGUAUUAAUGAUGCCUCUGUCAGAUCUGUAAAAAAAUCACCAAGGAAUCUAUCAAUCUCCUGUUGUGUGCACCACUACGCAUUCUAGAACUGAUGUGUUGCCACUGGAACUGUAGUUAUUACCUUAAUCAUUACACUCCAUAUACAAAUGAGAUUUGUUGUCUCUCUUGCCAAAUAAAGUUUUCAAUUCAAUUUCUUUACAUCAAGUUUUAGUGUGUGUGUGUGUGUGUGUGUGUGUGUGUGUGUGUGUGUGUGUGUGU